rnacentral:rRNA from 1 species
AUCGAUGAAGAACGCAGCGAAAUGCGAUAAGUAAUGUGAAUUGCAGAAUUCAGUGAAUCAUCGAAUCUUUGAACGCACAUUGCGCCCCUUGGUAUUCCGAGGGGCAUGCCUAUUCGAGCGUCAUUAUCACCCCUCAAGCUCAGCUUGGUGUUGAGGCCUGCUGUAAAGGCAGCCUCUAAAAUCAGUGGCAGUGCUGUCAGGCUCUAAGCGUAGUAAUUUCAUCGCUAUAGGGUCCUGGUGGAUACUCGUCARAACCCCCCCAUUUUUUAAUGAUUGACCUCGGAUUAGGUAGGGAUACCCGCUGAACUUAAGCAUAUCAAUAAGCGGAGGAAAAGAAACCAACAGGGAUUGCCUCAGUAACGGCGAGUGAAGCGGCAAAAGCUCAAAUUUGAAAUCUGGCUCUUUUAGGGUCCGAGUUGUAAUUUGUAGAAGAUGUUUCGGGUGUGGCUCCGGUUUAAGUUCUUUGGAAUAUUACAUCAUAGAGGGUGAGAAUCCCGUAUGUGACCGGCAGCCUUCGCCUAUGUGAAACUCUUUCGACGAGUCGAGUUGUUUGGGAAUGCAGCUCAAAAUGGGAGGUAUAUUUCUUCUAAAGCUAAAUAUUGGCCAGAGACCGAUAGCGCACAAGUAGAGUGAUCGAAAGAUGAAAAGCACUUUGGAAAGAGAGUUAAACAGUACGUGAAAUUGUUGAAAGGGAAGCGCUUGCAACCAGACUUGCACGCAGUUGAUCAUCCGGUGUUCUCACCGGGGCACUCUGCUGCGUUCAGGCCAGCAUCGGUUUUGGUGGUUGGAUAAAGGCCUUGGGAAUGUGGCUUCCUUCGGGGAGUGUUAUAGCCCUCGGUGCAAUGCAGCCUACCGGGACCGAGGACCGCGCUUCGGCUAGGAUGCUGGCGUAAUGGUUGUAAGCGACCCGUCUUGAAACACGG